rnacentral:misc_RNA from 1 species
AACGCAUCUUGCGCUCCUUGGUAUUCCGAGGAGCAUGCCUGUUUGAGUGUCAUUAAAUUCUCAACUACACUGAUUUUGUUGGUGUGGCUUGGAUUUGGGGGGAGAAUCAUAUUUAUGUUCUUUGCAGGCUUUGUAAAUGAAGUCAGCUCCCCUGAAAUUGAUUUGCGGUACCUCAGUAGAACUGUCUGUAGGUGUGAUAACUUAUCUACACCUUGGAUGUCUGCAUGAAAAGGUUAUGCUGCUUCCUAACCCUCACUCCUCAUCUGGAGCGCUAAUAUGACAAUCUUGACCUCAAAUCAGGUAGGACUACCCGCUGAACUUAA